rnacentral:rRNA from 1 species
UACGGGGGGGGCUAGCGUUGUCCGGAAUCAUUGGGCGUAAAGGGCGCGUAGGCGGAAUCGUAAGUCAGAGGUGAAAACCAUAGGCUUAACUUGUGGCCUGCCUUUGAAACUGCAAUUCUUGAGUGCGGUAGAGGGAAGCUGAAUUCCUGGUGUAGCGGUGAAAUGCGUAGAUAUCAGGAAGAACACCGGUAGCGAAGGCGGCUUCCUGGGCCGUAACUGACGCUGAGGCGCGAAAGUGUGGGGAGCAAACAGG